rnacentral:misc_RNA from 1 species
GAUGAAGAACGCAGUGAAAUGCGAUAAGUAAUGUGAAUUGCAGAAUUCAGUGAAUCAUCGAAUCUUUGAACGCACAUUGCGCCCCCUGGUAUUCCGGGGGUCAUGCCUGUCCGAGCGUCAUUACAACCCUCAAGCUCAGCUUGGUGUUGGGCCCCGCCGCCCCGGCGGGCCCUAAAGUCAGUGGCGGUGCCGUCCGGCUCCGAGCGUAGUAAUUCUUCUCGCUCUGGAGGUCCGGUCGUGUGCUCGCCAGCAACCCCCAAUUUUUUUCAGGUUGACCUCGGAUCAGGUAGGGAUACCCGCUGAACUUAAGCAUAUCAAUAAGCGGAGGA